rnacentral:rRNA from 1 species
UACGUAGGGAGCAAGCGUUGUCCGGAAUCAUUGGGCGUAAAGAGCGCGUAGGUGGCUUUAUAAGUCCGUUGUGAAAGUCAAAGGCUCAACCUUUGAAAGCCGAUGGAUACUGUGAAGCUAGAGUACGGAAGAGGCGAGUGGAAUUCCUGGUGUAGCGGUGGAAUGCGCAGAUAUCAGGAGGAACACCAAUUGCGAAGGCAGCUCGCUGGGACGUUACUGACGCUGAGACGCGAAAGCGUGGGGAGCAAACAGG